CGGGGAGUAAGUCAAUUGUUAGACGGCAACAUUUGGGGUGUUGAGGCUGUGGGUUAGAGUCCCGCCUCUCCGACCA
rnacentral:tRNA from 1 species